ACGCGCAGAACCUUACCAACCCUUGACAUCCUGUGCUACUACCAGAGAUGGUACGUUCCCUUCGGGGACGCAGUGACAGGUGCUGCAUGGCUGUCGUCAGCUCGUGUCGUGAGAUGUUCGGUUAAGUCCGGCAACGAGCGCAACCCACAUCUUUAGUUGCCAUCAGGUUAAGCUGGGCACUCUAGAGAAACUGCCCGUGAUAAGCGGGAGGAAGGUGUGGAUGACGUCAAGUCCUCAUGGCCCUUACGGGUUGGGCUACACACGUGCUACAAUGGCAGUGACAAUGGGUUAAUCCCCAAAAGCUGUCUCAGUUCGGAUUGGGGUCUGCAACUCGACCCCAUGAAGUCGGAAUCGCUAGUAAUCGCGUAACAGCAUGACGCGGUGAAUACGUUCCCGGGCCUUGUACACACCGCCCGUCACACCAUGGGAGUUGGUUCUACCCGACGACGCUGCGCUAACCCUNNGGG
rnacentral:rRNA from 1 species